rnacentral:rRNA from 1 species
GACGGAGGGUGCUAGCGUUGUUCGGAAUUACUGGGCGUAAAGGGCGCGUAGGUGGUUUGAUAAGGGUGUGGUGAAAGUCCGGGGCUCAACCCCGGAUCUGCCGUGCCGACUGUCAAACUCGAGGGCUGUAGAGGCAGACGGAAUUCCGGGUGUAGCGGUGGAAUGCGUAGAUAUCUGGAGGAACACCGGUGGCGAAGGCGGCGUUCUGGACGGCAUCUGACGCUGAGGAGCGAAAGCAUGGGGAGCGAACAGG